rnacentral:rRNA from 1 species
GAACGCUGGCGGCGUGCCUAAUACAUGCAAGUCGAACGAGUUCUGAUUAUUGAAAGGUGCUUGCAUCUUGAUUUAAUUUUGAACGAGUGGCGGACGGGUGAGUAACACGUGGGUAACCUGCCCUUAAGUGGGGGAUAACAUUUGGAAACAGAUGCUAAUACCGCAUAAAUCCAAGAACCGCAUGGUUCUUGGCUGAAAGAUGGCGUAAGCUAUCGCUUUUGGAUGGACCCGCGGCGUAUUAGCUAGUUGGUGAGGUAACGGCUCACCAAGGCAAUGAUACGUAGCCGAACUGAGAGGUUGAUCGGCCACAUUGGGACUGAGACACGGCCCAAACUCCUACGGGAGGCAGCAGUAGGGAAUCUUCCACAAUGGACGCAAGUCUGAUGGAGCAACGCCGCGUGAGUGAAGAAGGCUUUCGGGUCGUAAAACUCUGUUGUUGGAGAAGAAUGGUCGGCAGAGUAACUGUUGUCGGCGUGACGGUAUCCAACCAGAAAGCCACGGCUAACUACGUGCCAGCAGCCGCGGUAAUACGUAGGUGGCAAGCGUUAUCCGGAUUUAUUGGGCGUAAAGCGAGCGCAGGCGGUUUUUUAAGUCUGAUGUGAAAGCCCUCGGCUUAACCGAGGAAGUGCAUCGGAAACUGGGAAACUUGAGUGCAGAAGAGGACAGUGGAACUCCAUGUGUAGCGGUGAAAUGCGUAGAUAUAUGGAAGAACACCAGUGGCGAAGGCGGCUGUCUGGUCUGUAACUGACGCUGAGGCUCGAAAGCAUGGGUAGCGAACAGGAUUAGAUACCCUGGUAGUCCAUGCCGUAAACGAUGAAUGCUAGGUGUUGGAGGGUUUCCGCCCUUCAGUGCCGCAGCUAACGCAUUAAGCAUUCCGCCUGGGGAGUACGACCGCAAGGUUGAAACUCAAAGGAAUUGACGGGGGCCCGCACAAGCGGUGGAGCAUGUGGUUUAAUUCGAAGCAACGCGAAGAACCUUACCAGGUCUUGACAUCUUUUGAUCACCUGAGAGAUCAGGUUUCCCCUUCGGGGGCAAAAUGACAGGUGGUGCAUGGUUGUCGUCAGCUCGUGUCGUGAGAUGUUGGGUUAAGUCCCGCAACGAGCGCAACCCUUAUGACUAGUUGCCAGCAUUUAGUUGGGCACUCUAGUAAGACUGCCGGUGACAAACCGGAGGAAGGUGGGGAUGACGUCAAAUCAUCAUGCCCCUUAUGACCUGGGCUACACACGUGCUACAAUGGAUGGUACAACGAGUUGCGAGACCGCGAGGUCAAGCUAAUCUCUUAAAGCCAUUCUCAGUUCGGACUGUAGGCUGCAACUCGCCUACACGAAGUCGGAAUCGCUAGUAAUCGCGGAUCAGCACGCCGCGGUGAAUACGUUCCCGGGCCUUGUACACACCGCCCGUCACACCAUGAGAGUUUGUAACACCCGAAGCCGGUGGCGUAACCCUUUUAGGGAGCGAGCCGUCUAAGGUGGGACAAAUGAUUAGGGUG